UGAGUACUCCCUCUAUCCGAAAAAACGUGUCCCUCAAAUGGAUGUAUCUAGCACCAAAUUAGUGCUAGAUACAUCAAUUUGAGGAACAAGCUUGGGACAAACUUUCUCGGACAGAGGGAAUAUUUA
rfam:Triticum aestivum genome assembly, contig: Triticum_aestivum_CS42_TGACv1_scaffold_621578_7DS